rnacentral:rRNA from 1 species
UACAGAGGUCCCGAGCGUUGUUCGGAUUCAUUGGGCGUAAAGGGUGCGUAGGCGGCGGGGCAAGUCUGAUGUGAAAUCCCGGGGCUCAACCCCGGAACUGCAUUGGAUACUGCCUUGCUUGAGUACUGGAGAGGAGACUGGAAUUUACGGUGUAGCAGUGAAAUGCGUAGAUACCGUAAGGAAGGCCAGUGGCGAAGGCGAGUCUCUGGACAGUUACUGACGCUGAGGCACGAAGGCCAGGGGAGCAAACAGG